rnacentral:rRNA from 1 species
AAUCAACGCUGGCGGCGUGCCUCAGACAUGCAAGUCGAACGAUUAAAGCUCUCUUCGGAGAGUGUAUAAAGUGGCGCACGGGUGAGUAACACGUAAGUAAUCUACCUUCGAGUGGGGAAUAACGUCCGGAAACGGACGCUAAUACCGCAUAACGCAGCGGCAUCGCAAGAUGACAGUUGUUAAAGAUUUAUCGCUUGAAGAGGAGCUUGCGGCAGAUUAGCUUGUUGGUAAGGUAACGGCUUACCAAGGCUACGAUCUGUAUCCGGUCUAAGAGGACGGUCGGACACACUGACACUGAAUAACGGGUCAGACUCCUACGGGAGGCAGCAGUCGGGAAUUUUGGGCAAUGGGGAAACCCUGACCCAGCAACGCCGCGUGAAGGAUGAAGUAUUUCGGUAUGUAAACUUCGAAAGAAUAGGAAGAAUUAAUGACGUACUAUUUAUAAGGUCCGGCUAACUACGUGCCAGCAGCCGCCGUAAG